UACUCCGUGGCGCAUUGUAGCGCCUCUGACUCCAUAUGAGAAGGUUGCGUGUUCAAAUCACGUCGGGGUCA
rnacentral:tRNA from 1 species